rnacentral:tRNA from 1 species
GUCCCAGUAGCUCAGGGGAUAGAGCAGCGGACUUCUAAUCCGCUGGUCGGGGGUUCGAUUCCCUCCUGGGACGCCA